AAAUUGAAGAGUUUGAUCAUGGCUCAGAUUGAACGCUGGCGGCAGGCCUAACACAUGCAAGUCGAACGGUAACAGGAAGCAGCUUGCUGCUUCGCUGACGAGUGGCGGACGGGUGAGUAAUGUCUGGGAAACUGCCUGAUGGAGGGGGGUAACUACUGGAAACGGUGGCUAAUACCGCAUAACGUCGCAAGACCAAAGAGGGGGACCUUCGGGCCUCUUGCCAUCAGAUGUGCCCAGAUGGGAUUAGCUGGUUGGUGAGGUAACGGCUCACCAAGGCGACGAUCCCUAGCUGGUCUGAGAGGAUGACCAGCCACACUGGAACUGAGACACGGUCCAGACUCCUACGGGAGGCAGCAGUGGGGAAUAUUGCACAAUGGGCGCAAGCCUGAUGCAGCCAUGCCGCGUGUAUGAAGAAGGCCUUCGGGUUGUAAAGUACUUUCAGCGGGGAGGAAGGUGUUGUGGUUAAUAAC
rnacentral:rRNA from 1 species